rnacentral:tRNA from 1 species
AGCAGCGUGGCUCAGUGGAAAGAGCCUGGGCUUCAGAGUCAGCGAUCAUGGGUUCGACUCCCUGCUCUGCCA